rnacentral:rRNA from 1 species
GAUGAACGCUAGCGACAGGCUUAACACAUGCAAGUCGAGGGGCAGCAGGGGAGUAGCAAUACUCCCGCUGGCGACCGGCGCACGGGUGAGUAACACGUAUGCAACCUGCCCUUGUCAGGGGGAUAAGCGGAAGAAAUUCCGUCUAAUACCGCAUAACGCUGCGGGGAGACAUCUCCCUGCAGCCAAAGAUUUAUCGGACAAGGAUGGGCAUGCGGCGCAUUAGCUUGUUGGCGGGGUAACGGCCCACCAAGGCGACGAUGCGUAGGGGUUCUGAGAGGAAGGUCCCCCACACUGGUACUGAGACACGGACCAGACUCCUACGGGAGGCAGCAGUGAGGAAUAUUGGUCAAUGGCCGGGAGGCUGAACCAGCCAAGUCGCGUGAGGGAAGACGGUCCUAUGGAUUGUAAACCUCUUUUGUCAGGGAGCAAAAACUGCCACGCGUGGCAGGAUGAGAGUACCUGAAGAAAAAGCAUCGGCUAACUCCGUGCCAGCAGCCGCGGUAAUACGGAGGAUGCGAGCGUUAUCCGGAUUUAUUGGGUUUAAAGGGUGCGUAGGCGGACAGUUAAGUCAGCGGUAAAAUUGAGAGGCUCAACCUCUUCCCGCCGUUGAAACUGAUUGUCUUGAGUGGGCGAGAAGUAUGCGGAAUGCGUGGUGUAGCGGUGAAAUGCAUAGAUAUCACGCAGAACUCCGAUUGCGAAGGCAGCAUACCGGCGCCCAACUGACGCUGAAGCACGAAAGCGUGGGUAUCGAACAGGAUUAGAUACCCUGGUAGUCCACGCAGUAAACGAUGAAUACUAAUUGUUCGGGUCGAGUGAGAUCUGAGUGAUACAGCGAAAGCGUUAAGUAUUCCACCUGGGGAGUACGCCGGCAACGGUGAAACUCAAAGGGAUUGACGGGGGCCCGCACAAGCGGAGGAACAUGUGGUUUAAUUCGAUGAUACGCGAGGAACCUUACCCGGGCUCAAACGACACAGGAAUGAUCUGAGAAAUCAGGCAGUCCUUCGGGACCUGUGUCGAGGUGCUGCAUGGUUGUCGUCAGCUCGUGCCGUGAGGUGUCGGCUUAAGUGCCAUAACGAGCGCAACCCCCAUCGACAGUUGCCAGCAGGUCAAGCUGGGCACUCUGUCGAGACUGCCGGCGCAAGCUGUGAGGAAGGCGGGGAUGACGUCAAAUCAGCACGGCCCUUACGUCCGGGGCGACACACGUGUUACAAUGGCAGGUACAGCGGGAAGCCACCUGGCGACAGGGAGCGGAACCCGAAAGCCUGUCUCAGUUCGGAUUGGAGUCUGCAACUCGACUCCAUGAAGCUGGAUUCGCUAGUAAUCGCGCAUCAGCCACGGCGCGGUGAAUACGUUCCCGGGCCU